GUGCUGGCUUGGACAGAGCAUACACUAAAAUUGGAACGAUACAGAGAUUAGCACACUCCCUGUACAAGGAUGACACGCAAAUUUGUGAAGGGUUGCAUAUUUAA
ensembl:snRNA U6 U6 spliceosomal RNA